GAUGAACGCUGGCGGCGUGCCUAAUACAUGCAAGUCGAGCGAACAGACGAGGAGCUUGCUCCUCUGACGUUAGCGGCGGACGGGUGAGUAACACGUGGAUAACCUACCUAUAAGACUGGGAUAACUUCGGGAAACCGGAGCUAAUACCGGAUAAUAUAUUGAACCGCAUGGUUCAAUAGUGAAAGACGGUUUUGCUGUCACUUAUAGAUGGAUCCGCGCCGCAUUAGCUAGUUGGUAAGGUAACGGCUUACCAAGGCGACGAUGCGUAGCCGACCUGAGAGGGUGAUCGGCCACACUGGAACUGAGACACGGUCCAGACUCCUACGGGAGGCAGCAGUAGGGAAUCUUCCGCAAAGGGCGAAAGCCUGACGGAGCAACGCCGCGUGAGUGAUGAAGGUCUUCGGAUCGUAAAACUCUGUUAUUAGGGAAGAACAAAUGUGUAAGUAACUAUGCACGUCUUGACGGUACCUAAUCAGAAAGCCACGGUUAACUACGUG
rnacentral:rRNA from 1 species